GACGAACGCUGGCGGCGUGCUUAACACAUGCAAGUCGAACGGAAAGGCCCUGCUUUUGUGGGGUGCUCGAGUGGCGAACGGGUGAGUAACACGUGAGUAACCUGCCCUUGACUUUGGGAUAACUUCAGGAAACUGGGGCUAAUACCGGAUAGGAGCUCCUGCUGCAUGGUGGGGGUUGGAAAGUUUCGGCGGUUGGGGAUGGACUCGCGGCUUAUCAGCUUGUUGGUGGGGUAGUGGCUUACCAAGGCUUUGACGGGUAGCCGGCCUGAGAGGGUGACCGGCCACCUUGGGACUGCGGUACGGACCAGAGUCCUAUGGUGGACAGCAGUGGGAAACCUUGCCCAACGGGCCGACGCCUGAUGCAGAAACGCCGGGUUCGGGAUGCCGGCCUUCCGGUUGUAAAACGCUUUCGCCUGUGACGAAGCGUGAAUGACGGUACUGGGUAAAGAAGCACCGGCUAACUACGUG
rnacentral:rRNA from 1 species